rnacentral:tRNA from 2 species
GGGCGCGUAGCUCAGCUGGCCAGAGCGCACGGUUCACAUCCGUGAGGUCACAGGUUCAAGUCCUGUCGCGCCCA